rnacentral:rRNA from 1 species
UACAGAGGUGGCAAGCGUUGUUCGGAAUUACUGGGCGUAAAGGGCGCGUAGGCGGCCAUCUAAGUCAGACGUGAAAUCCCCCGGCUUAACCUGGGAACUGCGUCUGAUACUGGACGGCUGGAGUUUGGGAGAGGGUAGUGGAAUUUCCGGUGUAGCGGUGAAAUGCGUAGAGAUCGGAAGGAACACCAGUGGCGAAGGCGGCUACCUGGCCUAAUACUGACACUGAGGCACGAAAGCGUGGGGAGCAAACAGG